GAUUAAGUUAUUAAGGGCGCACGGUGGAUGCCUUGGCACUAGAAGCCGAUGAAGGACGUUACUAACGACGAUAUGCUUUGGGGAGCUGUAAGUAAGCUUUGAUCCAGAGAUUUCCGAAUGGGGAAACCCAGCAUGAGUUAUGUCAUGUUAUCGAUAUGUGAAUACAUAGCAUAUCAGAAGGCACACCCGGAGAACUGAAACAUCUUAGUACCCGGAGGAAGAGAAAGAAAAUUCGAUUCCCUUAGUAGCGGCGAGCGAAACGGGAAGAGCCCAAACCAACAAGCUUGCUUGUUGGGGUUGUAGGACACUCUAUACGGAGUUACAAAGGACGACAUUAGACGAAUCAUCUGGAAAGAUGAAUCAAAGAAGGUAAUAAUCCUGUAGUCGAAAAUGUUGUCUCUCUUGAGUGGAUCCUGAGUACGACGGAGCACGUGAAAUUCCGUCGGAAUCUGGGAGGACCAUCUCCUAAGGCUAAAUACUCUCUAGUGACCGAUAGUGAACCAGUACCGUGAGGGAAAGGUGAAAAGCACCCCGGAAGGGGAGUGAAAUAGAACCUGAAACCGUGUGCUUACAAGUAGUCAGAGCCCGUUAAUGGGUGAUGGCGUGCCUUUUGUAGAAUGAACCGGCGAGUUACGAUUUGAUGCAAGGUUAAGCAGUAAAUGUGGAGCCGUAGCGAAAGCGAGUCUGAAUAGGGCGUUUAGUAUUUGGUCGUAGACCCGAAACCAGGUGAUCUACCCUUGGUCAGGUUGAAGUUCAGGUAACACUGAAUGGAGGACCGAACCGACUUACGUUGAAAAGUGAGCGGAUGAACUGAGGGUAGCGGAGAAAUUCCAAUCGAACCUGGAGAUAGCUGGUUCUCUCCGAAAUAGCUUUAGGGCUAGCCUCAAGUGAUGAUUAUUGGAGGUAGAGCACUGUUUGGACGAGGGGCCCCUCUCGGGUUACCGAAUUCAGACAAACUCCGAAUGCCAAUUAAUUUAACUUGGGAGUCAGAACAUGGGUGAUAAGGUCCGUGUUCGAAAGGGAAACAGCCCAGACCACCAGCUAAGGUCCCAAAAUAUAUGUUAAGUGGAAAAGGAUGUGGCGUUGCCCAGACAACUAGGAUGUUGGCUUAGAAGCAGCCAUCAUUUAAAGAGUGCGUAAUAGCUCACUAGUCGAGUGACACUGCGCCGAAAAUGUACCGGGGCUAAACAUAUUACCGAAGCUGUGGAUUGUCCUUUGGACAA
rnacentral:rRNA from 1 species